rnacentral:rRNA from 1 species
AGUGAACGCUGGCGGUAGGCCUAACACAUGCAAGUCGAACGGCAGCACAGGAGAGCUUGCUCUCUAGGUGGCGAGUGGCGGACGGGUGAGGAAUACAUCGGAAUCUGCCCAGUCGUGGGGGAUAACGUAGGGAAACUUACGCUAAUACCGCAUACGACCUUCGGGUGAAAGAGGGGGAUCGCAAGACCUCUCGCGAUUGGAUGAGCCGAUGUCGGAUUAGCUAGUUAGCGGGGUAAUGGCCCACCAAGGCGACGAUCCGUAGCUGGUCUGAGAGGAUGAUCAGCCACACUGGAACUGAGACACGCUCCAGACUCCUACGGGAGGCAGCAGUGGGGAAUAUUGGACAAUGGGCGCAAGCCUGAUCCAGCCAUACCGCGUGGGUGAAGAAGGCCUUCGGGUUGUAAAGCCCUUUUGUUGGGAAAGAAAUCUUUCAGGCUAAUACCCUGGGAGGAUGACGGUACCCAAAGAAUAAGCACCGGCUAACUUCGUG